UACGAAGGGGGCUAGCGUUGUUCGGAAUUACUGGGCGUAAAGCGCGCGCAGGCGGCUGUUCAAGUCGAGGGUGAAAGCCCAGAGCUCAACUCUGGAAUUGCCUUCGAAACUGGACAGCUUGAGUACGGGAGAGGUGAGUGGAAUUCCCAGUGUAGAGGUGAAAUUCGUAGAUAUUGGGAAGAACACCGGUGGCGAAGGCGGCUCACUGGCCCGUUACUGACGCUCAGGCGCGAUAGCGUGGGGAUCAAACAGG
rnacentral:rRNA from 1 species